rnacentral:rRNA from 1 species
CUACGUGCCAGCAGCCGCGGUAAUACGUAGGGCGCGAGCGUUGUCCGGAAUUAUUGGGCGUAAAGGGCUUGUAGGCGGUUGGUCGCGUCUGCCGUGAAAUUCUCUGGCUUAACUGGGGGCGUGCGGUGGGUACGGGCUGACUUGAGUGCGGUAGGGGAGACUGGAACUCCUGGUGUAGCGGUGGAAUGCGCAGAUAUCAGGAAGAACACCGGUGGCGAAGGCGGGUCUCUGGGCCGUUACUGACGCUGAGGAGCGAAAGCGUGGGGAGCGAACAGGAUUAGAUACCCUGGUAGUCCAUGCCGUAAACGUUGGGCACUAGGUGUGGGGGACAUUCCACGUUUUCCGCGCCGUAGCUAACGCAUUAAGUGCCCCGCCUGGGGAGUACGGCCGCAAGGCUAAAACUCAAAGAAAUUGACGGGGGCCCGCACAAGCGGCGGAGCAUGCGGAUUAAUUCGAUGCAACGCGAAGAACCUUACCAAGGCUUGACAU